rnacentral:rRNA from 1 species
UUCGGUCCUGAGUAGAGUGGCGAACGGGUGAGUAACGCGUGGGUGACCUACCCUCGAGUGGGGGAUAACGUUCCGAAAGGGACGCUAAUACCGCAUGAUAUUCCUGGUUUGAAGACUGGGAAAUCAAAGCCGGGGACCGCAAGGCCUGGCGCUUGAGGAGGGGCCCGCGUCUGAUUAGCUAGUUGGCGGGGUAACGGCCCACCAAGGCGACGAUCAGUAGCCGGCCUGAGAGGGCGGACGGCCACACUGGGACUGAGACACGGCCCAGACUCCUACGGGAGGCAGCAGUGGGGAAUUGUUCGCAAUGGGCGCAAGCCUGACGACGCAACGCCGCGUGGAGGAUGAAGGUCUUCGGAUUGUAAACUCCUGUUGAUCGGGACGAAAAGCUUCGACCUAACACGUCGAAGACUGACGGUACCGGUUGAGGAAGCCACGGCUAACUCUGUGCCAGCAGCCGCGGUAAUACAGAGGUGGCAAGCGUUGUUCGGAAUUACUGGGCGUAAAGGGCGCGUAGGCGGCCUUCUAAGUCGGACGUGAAAGCCCCAGGCUUAACCUGGGAACUGCGUCCGAUACUGGGAGGCUUGGAUUCGGGAGAGGGAUGUGGAAUUCCAGGUGUAGCGGUGAAAUGCGUAGAUAU